GAAUGAAUGAAAUGUUAAUUACAUGGCUGUUUGGAGGUGUAUCAAGUGGGAAAAUUGCUUAAGCACAGACAGUAUUCUCAUUCUGCUUCUUUCUCACCUUUUGACUUUCCACAUGGCUGUUUUCUUCUCUGGAAGCUGAGUGAUUGGGAUAAGAUGGUCAUCCAGAGUCCCUUCCUAGUCUGAUCUUUUAUAAAGCUGUGAUUUUUCUAAAGCAAAAAGCCAGUGUGACCAAGAAGAGGUCAAGCAACUCUCAUGUGCGUUUGCGCCCUGGGAGAUGGGAAGAGAAGGCAUUGAGAAAGUUGGGGUCCAGGCAGUGGUGUGCUGCAUACUUGGAUACAGUUGUUUUAAUUUUUAUUUUUUCUGAUUUACCUUUUUUCCUCCCUUAGCACCCCUUUCUCCAUGGAGACAUUACUGCAGCCAUGCCUCUGUUGUUUGAGUUGAACCACAUGAAGCCUGGUUCUAGCUUCUUUAGGACCCCUCCCCCGUGUCAUUUCACCUGCAGGGAGUAACUCCCUGGUGUUUAACUCUCUUUUUCUAUUUUUACCUUCCUGUACCCAGACUGUGUUCUGUGACUCAUUCUAGCCUCAUGUUGAGCAGACUGUAUGUCCUUACCUGCUCUAGUCAAUAGAGUGUGGGUCGAUGUGAUGCCACCUAUGGCUUGAGAUAAGCUUGAGCCAUGGAUUUGCCUUCUUGGGCUUCUGCCAUCACCAUUAGAGAAACAUGCCCCGGUUAGCCCACUGGUCCAAGAAGAAUUGAGGGAUACCUGGAGCAGAAUGGACAACCCAAGGCCAUAGCUAAACUCUACUGAGCUGAGAUCAACUGAAUGAGAUCAGCAGAACUGCCCAGCUAACACACACGUAUGAGUGAGAAUAGAGGAUUGUUUUAAAUCACUGAGUAUUAAGGUGUAUGUUCCAUGGCAUUAUCGUGGCCAUAGCUGACUGAUACACCAGUCUUCUAAAACCAAGCCUGGGGUACUCAUUCUUCCAGAGAACAUUUCCUUAACCCAAAGAUUUGGCCUAACAGUAAGAAUUUCUCUAUGUUUUAUGUCAGUGGGUCAGUGGUUUGUGCGGACUGACAUAGGGACUGUAGCAGAAGAGAGGAAAAACAAGAAGCCAAUAAUGCUUAACUAUACCAUUUGAGGACUGCAAACAGGAGAGCAAUGAUUGAAGGAAUUUAUC
rnacentral:lncRNA from 1 species